GACGAACGCUGGCGGCGUGCUUAACACAUACAAGUCGAACGGAAAGGCCCUGCUUUUGUGGGGUGCUCGAGUGGCGAACGGGUGAGUAACACGUGAGUAACCUGCCCUUGACUUUGGGAUAACUUCAGGAAACUGGGGCUAAUACCGGAUAGGAGCUCCUGCUGCAUGGUGGGGGUUGGAAAGUUUCGGCGGUUGGGGAUGGACUCGCGGCUUAUCAGCUUGUUGGUGGGGUAGUGGCUUACCAAGGCUUUGGCGGGUAGCCGGCCUGAGAGGGUGACCGGCCACAUUGGGACUGAGGUACGGCCCAGACUCCUACGGGAGGCAGCAGUGGGGAAUAUUGCACAAUGGGCGGAAGCCUGAUGCAGCAACGCCGCGUGCGGGAUGACGGCCUUCGGGUUGUAAACCGCUUUCGCCUGUGACGAAGCGUGAGUGACGGUAAUGGGUAAAGAAGCACCGGCUAACUACGUG
rnacentral:rRNA from 1 species